GGGGAAUAUUGCACAAUGGGCGAAAGCCUGAUGCAGCGACGCCGCGUGAGGGAUGACGGCCUUCGGGUUGUAAACCUCUUUCAGCAGGGAAGAAGCGAAAGUGACGGUACCUGCAGAAGAAGCGCCGGCUAACUUCGUGCCAGCAGCCGCGGUAAUACGAAGGGGGCUAGCGUUGUUCGGAAUCACUGGGCGUAAAGCGCACGUAGGCGGACUUUUAAGUCAGGGGUGAAAUCCCGGGGCUCAACCUCGGAACUGCCUUUGAUACUGGAAGUCUGGAGUCCGAGAGAGGUGAGUGGAACUCCGAGUGUAGAGGUGAAAUUCGUAGAUAUUCGGAAGAACACCAGUGGCGAAGGCGGCUCACUGGCUCGGUACUGACGCUGAGGUGCGAAAGCGUGGGGAGCAAACA
rnacentral:rRNA from 1 species